rnacentral:rRNA from 1 species
AUGCAUAGCAUGGAUGCCUAGGUAGAUGAUACCGAUGAAGGACGCACUACGCGUGCGAAACGUGACGGUGAGCUGCGAAGAAGCUAUGACCCGUCAAUUUCCGAAUGGGGAAACCCACUCUAUAUGAGAAUCUCUUCCCCAAUCCAUAAGGAAGAGAAGGGUACCGCCUGAACUGAAACAUCUCAGUAGGGCGAGGAAAAGAAAUCGAAGAGAUGCCGUAAGUAGUGGCGAGCGAAAGCGGCACAGGCCAAACCAGUCUUCGGACUGGGGUUGUAGGACUAUUCUGUUUUUAAUAACAAAUAAGCGUUGUAAGUUAGCAGAAGUGUUUGGAAUAACACACCAUAGACGGUGAAAGUCCCAGUACGCGAAAACCGAAAACCUAUUGAAUAGCACCUGAGUAACUGGCAGGGACACGUGAAAUCCUGUAGGAAUCUAGGGAGACCACUCUCUAAGCCUAAAUAUAUCAUCUGACCGAUAGUGAACGAGUACCGUGAGGGAAAGGUGAAAAAGCAGUCCGGAUAGGACAAUGAAAUAGUACCUGAAAUGCUAUGCUCACAAACAGUCGAAGCACUAUGUUUUAAGUUUACUUAAAGCAGUGUGACGGCGUGCCUAUUGAAGAAUGAACCGGUGAGUAUAUGUACAUGCGGCAAGCUUAAGGGCCUAUGGUCCGAAGGCGCAAGUGAAAGCGAGGCUGAAUAGGCCGAUUUAGUCGCGUGCAUAUGACCCGAAACCCAGUGAGCCAACCAUGAGCAGGGUGAAGUAGAGAUAAAACUCUAUGGAGGCCCGAACCGGUGUAUGUUACAAAAUGCUCGGAUGACUUGUGGUUAGUGGUGAUAUACCAAUCGAACUGGGAGAUAGCUGGUUCUCCUCCGGAAAUAUAUCAAGGUAUAGCCCCGUGUGUUCCCUGCGGAGGUAGAGCACUGAAUGGACUCUGGGGGAGAUUACUCCUUCAGAUCUAAUCAAACUCCGAAUGCCGUUAGGUCAAGAACACGGGAGUCAGCAAGGCUCGGCUAAGCGAGUCGGUGCAAAAAGGGGAACAGCCCAGAUCAACAGCUAAGGUCCCAAAUCAUAGUUAAGUGUAAAAGGUUGUGUCGGUGGCUAAACAACCAGGAGGUUGGCUUAGAAGCAGCCAUCCUUUAAAGAAAGCGUAACAGCUCGCUGGUCGAAUACCAUCUUCGCGCCGAUAAUGUAAGGGGGCUCAAACUAUGAACCGAAGCUUUGGAUUGGCAAAAAAUUUAUUUUAUGCCAGUGGUAGGAGAGCGUUCUGUAUGCAGUGAAGCAUGACCGUAAGGACGUGUGAAGCGUACAGAAGUGAGAAUGCCGGUAUGAGUAGCGAAAGGAAGGUGAAAAACCUUUCCACCGAAUGCCCAAGGGUUCCACGGCCAUGUUAAUCAUCCGUGGGUUAGUCGGCACCUAAGGCGAGGCCAAUUGGCGUAGUCGAUGGACAACAGGUUGUUAUUCCUGUACAUCAUAUGCGCGAUUAAGACUUUAAGGAAUGACAAAGAUGGAAAAAAUCUCGAGGGAGCAUGAGUGUGCCCCUUAUAAGCAGUAAAGAAGUGUGACCAGGUAAAUCCGGUGGAGAACACGUUUAUUUGAGCUGUGAUGUCAAGAUUGCGGAGCAAUCCAAAGUCAAGGAGAUCGUUUUCAACUUUCAGGAAAAAUUUCGUAAAGAGCGUAUAUCAUGCCGUACCGUAAACCGACACAGGUGGGCGAGUUGAGUAUACAAAGGUGAUCGGGUGAGUCGUGCUUAAGGAACUAGGCAAUACAGCUGGACGUACCUUCGGUAGAUGUCCUGCCUCCCUUCGAGCAAUCGAAGGAGGCCGCAGCGAAAGCCGCUAAGCGACUGUUUAACAAAAAACACAGCUCUGUGCUAAAGCGAAAGCUGAUGUAUUACGGGGUGAGACCUGCCCAGUGCUGGUAAUUUAAGGGGAGGGGUAGCAAUGCUCUGAACUUAAGAUCCAGUGAACGGCAGCAGUAACUAUAACUGUUCUAUGGUAGCGAAAUUCCCUUGUCGGGUAAGUUCCGACCCGCACGAAAGGUUGAACGACUUAGCGACUGUCUUGAGCACGUGCCCGGCGAAAUUGAAAUGGCUGUGAAGAUGCGGCCUAGUCACACAUGGACAAAAAGACCCUGUGAAGCUUUACUACAACUUUGCACUGAAAGUACGCAUGUAAACUGCGUAGCGUAGGAGGGAGCCCAAAAGGCGACGAUGAAACACCUCUCUUUGCGCGCGUAUUGAUCUCACCUCUUUGCCUAACAAAAAAACGGGCGGAAGGACACUGCAUGGGAGGUAGUUUAACUGGGGAGGUUGCCUCCAAAAAGGUAACGGAGGCGUACAAAGGUCGGCUCAGCACGGAUGGAAAUCGUGCUAAAGAGCGCAAGAGCAAAAUAGCCGGCUUGACUGUGAGACAGACACGUCGAGCAGAUACGAAAGUAGGUUCUAGUGAUCUUCUGCAUACUCGUGGGAGUGGCAGAGGCUUAUCGGAUAAAAGUUACUCCGGGGAUAACAGGCUGAUCUUGCCCAAGCGUCCACAGCGACGGCAAGGUUUGGCACCUCGAUGUCGGCUCAUCGCAUCCUGGGGCGGCAGUACGGUCCCAAGGGUUUGGCUGUUCGCCAAUUAAAGCGGUACGACGAGCUGGGGUUCAGAACGUCGUGAGACAGUUCGGUCUCUAUCCUGUGUGACCGUCAGAGUUUUGAGGGGGGUCGUCCCUUAGUACGAGAGGACCGGGAUGAGUUAACCUCUAGUGUACCAGUUGUCGGUCUCAAACCGCAUCGCUGGGUAGCUACGUUAAAUGAGCGAUAAGUGCUGAACGCAUAUAAGCACGAAGCGCGCCCCAAGAUGAGAACUCUUUUAAGCGCCCUCAGAGAUGAUGAGGUUGAUAGGUUGCCAGUGGAAGCGUAGAAAUGCGUUAAGCUAAGCAAUACUAAUAGCGCGU